rnacentral:SRP_RNA from 1 species
AGUCAAGUCCCGGGCAACAAUUUUAGCCUAAUCCCGCCAGGUUCGAAAGAAAGCAACGGUAAGCAAAGAAUUGUGUGAUCCGGGUAACUUGACUUUU